rnacentral:misc_RNA from 1 species
GGAAUGGUGAACCUGAAAAUCAAGAAAGAGGAGAAAAAGAAUGAAGGUCCAAGUCAAGCUCAAUUCUGCAUCUGGUUAACAGUUGGCUCAAUUCGAUUGAUCGUGAUGAAGUUUGGAUUUCAGAGUUGUACAUCGAGGUAAAUUUUAGAUCUUUUAUAUGUAAUGUCAGGAGUUUUAACGAUUGUUCCAAUUUUGUUUCACAAUGUAAAGAGAAAUUUUUUAUUUUAGACCAUAGACGGG